rnacentral:rRNA from 1 species
GGAAAUGGGGGGGAGGGCUAACACAUGCAAGUCGAGCGGAAACGAGUUAACUGAACCUUCGGGGAACGUUAACGGCGUCGAGCGGCGGACGGGUGAGUAAUGCCUGGGAAAUUGCCCUGAUGUGGGGGAUAACCAUUGGAAACGAUGGCUAAUACCGCAUGAUAGCUUCGGCUCAAAGAGGGGGACCUUCGGGCCUCUCGCGUCAGGAUAUGCCCAGGUGGGAUUAGCUAGUUGGUGAGGUAAUGGCUCACCAAGGCGACGAUCCCUAGCUGGUCUGAGAGGAUGAUCAGCCACACUGGAACUGAGACACGGUCCAGACUCCUACGGGAGGCAGCAGUGGGGAAUAUUGCACAAUGGGCGCAAGCCUGAUGCAGCCAUGCCGCGUGUAUGAAGAAGGCCUUCGGGUUGUAAAGUACUUUCAGCAGUGAGGAAGGUGGGUAUGUUAAUAGCAUACACAUUUGACGUUAGCUGCAGAAGAAGCACCGGCUAACUCCGUGCCAGCAGCCGCGGUAAUACGGAGGGUGCGAGCGUUAAUCGGAAUUACUGGGCGUAAAGCGCAUGCAGGUGGUUUGUUAAGUCAGAUGUGAAAGCCCGGGGCUCAACCUCGGAAUUGCAUUUGAAACUGGCAAACUAGAGUACUGUAGAGGGGGGUAGAAUUUCAGGUGUAGCGGUGAAAUGCGUAGAGAUCUGAAGGAAUACCGGUGGCGAAGGCGGCCCCCUGGACAGAUACUGACACUCAGAUGCGAAAGCGUGGGGAGCAAACAGGAUUAGAUACCCUGGUAGUCCACGCCGUAAACGAUGUCUACUUGGAGGUUGUGGCCUUGAGCCGUGGCUUUCGGAGCUAACGCGUUAAGUAGACCGCCUGGGGAGCACGGUCGCAAGAUUAAAAACUCAAAUGAAUUGACGGGGGGCCCGCACAAGCGGUGGAGCAAUGUGGUUUAAUUCGGAUGCAACGCCGAAGAACCUUUACCUACUUCUUGACAUCUUACAGAAAGCCUAGCGGAAGACGCCGAGUUGUGCCUUUCGGGGAAUCUGUAAAGACAGGUGGCUGCG